rnacentral:ncRNA from 2 species
AACAACCGCUAGGGGAGCCAUGUGGCUGAGAUUUCGCAACGGCGAAAGACCCUCUGAACCUGAUCUCGUUAGCACGAGCGAAGGAAAGCGGCGUGGUUUGAUC